CUUUAAAUAAAAAUUUAAGGUUUAACCUGCCCACUGAGGAUUUAAAUGGCCGCGGUAUUUUGACCGUGCAAAGGUAGCAUAAUCAAUAGUUUUUUAAUUGAAAGCUGGAAUGAAAGGUUGGAUAAGAAAGUGACUGUCUCUAUUGAAUAUUAAUAGAAUUUAAUUUUUAAGUAAAAAAGCUUAAAUGUUUUUAAAAGACGAGAAGACCCUAUAGAGUUUAAUAAUUUAAGAUUUUUUUAUAAAUUUGUAUAUAGAAAUUAAAAAUUAAGAAUUAUUUGAUUGGGGUGAUUGAAAAAUUUAAUAAACUUUUUUUGAAANAAUUACAUUGAUGUAUGAAUGAAUGAUCCAUAUUAGGAUUAAAAGAUUAAAUUACCUUAGGGAUAACAGCGUAAUUAUUCUUGAGAGUCCAUAUUGAAAGAANAGAUUGCGACCUCGAUGUUGGAUUAAAA
rnacentral:rRNA from 1 species